CAGUCGCCACGGGAAUACGUAGGGUGCGAGCGUUAAUCGGAAUUACUGGGCGUAAAGCGUGCGCAGGCGGUUCGUUAAGACAGAUGUGAAAUCCCCGGGCUUAACCUGGGAACUGCAUUUGUGACUGACGGGCUAGAGUAUGGGAGAGGAUGGUAGAAUUCCAGGUGUAGCGGUGAAAUGCGUAGAGAUCUGGAGGAAUACCGAUGGCGAAGGCAGCCAUCUGGCCUAAUACUGACGCUGAGGUACGAAAGCAUGGGGAGCAAACAGGAUUAGAUACCCGGGUAGUCCCUGUCUCUUAUAA
rnacentral:rRNA from 1 species